rnacentral:rRNA from 1 species
GAUGAACGCUGGCGGCGUGCCUAAUACAUGCAAGUCGAACGGGGAGUGUAGCAAUACAUUCUUAGUGGCGAACGGGUGAGUAACGCGUUGGUGACCUGCCCCAAAGAGUGGGAUAACAGUUCGAAAGGAUUGCUAAUACCGCAUGAGAUCUAGAGGAUUAGAAGCCUCGAGAUGAAAGGAGAAAUUCGCUUUGGGAGGGACCUGCGUCCCAUCAGCUAGUUGGUAGGGUAGUGGCCUACCAAGGCGAUGACGGGUAGGGGACCUGAGAGGGUGGCCCCCCACAAUGGAACUGAAACACGGUCCAUACACCUACGGGUGGCUG